GACGAACGCUGGCGGCGUGCUUAACACAUGCAAGUCGAACGGAAAGGCCCUGCUUUUGUGGGGUGCUCGAGUGGCGAACGGGUGAGUAACACGUGAGUAACCUGCCCUUGACUUUGGUAUAACUUCAGGAAACUGGGGCUAAUACCGGAUAGGAGCUCCUGCUGCAUGGUGGGGGUUGGAAAGUUUCGGCGGUUGGGGAUGGACUCGCGGCUUAUCAGCUUGUUGGUGGGGUAGUGGCUUACCAAGGCUUUGACGGGUAGCCGGCCUGAGAGGGUGACCGGCCACAUUGGGACUGAGAUACGGCCCAGACUCCUACGGGAGGCAGCAGUGGGGAAUAUUGCAUAAUGGGCGGAAGCCUGAUGCAGCAACGCCGCGUGCGGGAUGACGGCCUUCGGGUUGUAAACCGCUUUCGCCUGUGACGAAGCGUGAGUGACGGUAAUGGGUAAAGAAGCACCGGCUAACUACGUG
rnacentral:rRNA from 1 species